rnacentral:tRNA from 1 species
GGGGCCGUAGCUCAGACGGCAGAGCAACCGGUUGAAGCCCGGUGCGCCGAGGUUCGAUCCCUCGCGGUCCCA